CGUUUUUAUUCUCACAACAAAAACAAUUAAUUAUGUAUUAUUAUUUCUUCUCUCUCAAAACUCAAAAUCCCCUUUUCAUUUCACUCUCGCUGUCUUUCAAACUCCAUGCAUGACACCAUUAGGGCACUAAUUUUUAAUUACUACCCAAAUUCACCCAAAAUCGAAAUCCCUUCACCAAUAAGAUGUAAUUUCCCACUGAUUUUAGGGUUUUAUGUAUUAUUUUGAAGGAAAAUUAAGGAAAAGCUAAUUAGAUAAUUAUAAUUAUAGUUUCGAUUUUGGGAUUAGUUUGUUUUGUUUUGAUUUUUUAGGGUUUGUGUUUGUAAUUUUUUUAGAAAGGGUGAUGAAAGGAGGUCAAUCUGACAAGACAAAAGUGGUUGUGCGUCACUUACCACCGACGAUUUCUCAAGCUGCGUUUUUCGAGCAAAUCGACGUCGUUUUUUCUGGCCGUUAUAAUUGGGUCUCGUUUCGUCCCGGCAAGAGCAGCCAGAAGCAUCAAUCCUAUUCAAGAGCCUACAUUGACUUCAAAAGGCCAGAAGAUGUUAUCGAGUUUGCCGAGUUCUUUAACGGUCAUCUCUUCGUUAAUGAGAAGGGCACUCAGUUCAGGACAAUUGUUGAGUAUGCUCCUUCACAGCGGGUUCCAAAGCAGUGGUCAAAGAAGGAUGGUCGCGAAGGCACCUUAUUAAAAGAUCCUGCAUAUUUGGAGUUUCUUGAAUCAAUAUCCAAACCAGUUGAAAAUCUCCCCAGUGCAGAGAUACAAUUGGAAAGACGAGAAGCUGAGCGAGCUGCAGGUGCUGCAAAAGAUCCUCCUAUUAUAACUCCUUUAAUGGACUUUGUUCGUCAAAAACGUGCUGCAAAGACUGGAACUAGGAGAAUACUGUCUAAUGGAAAAAUCAGCAGAAGGGCUGGUGCAAGUGGAAGUCCUAGCUCAUCCUCAUCCAAACGAAGUUCUGACAAGAAGAGGGGUUCGACCACAAUGUAUGUUUUAAGGGACUCCGCUAAUAGUUCAAGCAGAAAGGACAAAUCAACUUACUUAUUGGUCCCUAAGCGAGAUGACCAACAACAUUCUGAUAAAGCAAGUACUUUGGCUUCUGUAUCUGGAACUGAGGUGUUGGAAGAUGAAUCUGGAAUUUCUGGAAUCACUGAUGCUGGGAAAAAGAAAAUCCUGCUUUUGAAAGGGAAAGGGAAAGAAAUUUCAACUUUGUCUGGUGGCAUGUCAAAGCAGAAUGUAGCGCAGCUUGAUAAAAGUGUGACCCGUUCUGCUUUCAAACAGAGUCAGCGACGGGAGACCAGUGGACGGAUAAUCAGAAGCAUUCUUUUAAACAAAGAUUCACGCCAAAAUCAAUCUUCUGGGGUCCAAUUUGAGCAGCAAAUUCAAUCCUCCAGCAUAGAAAAGGAGAAGCGUCCACCUCGACAUCCACAAGUGCAACUGGUUUUGAAGGAUGUGAAUGGAGGAGCUUCAGAUGACAAGGGUGCUGUCAAUGACACACAUGGUUUUUCUGGUGAGAAGCAGGAAAAGCGCACAAGAAAUAGGGAUAGGCCUGAUCGUGGUGUAUGGACUCCUCUUCGGCGCUCAGAUGGAUCUUAUGCAAGUGAUGAGUCUUUAUCGUCAUCUGCAUCUCAAUCUACACAAUCUUUAGACACUUCCCAAGGAAAUCAUGGAGAUAUGAAAGUUGAGUCAUUGAAUUCAAGGAGUGGAAGAAGCAGCCACUCUUCCUUAGAUAAUGGAUCACAUAAACAUUUUGGUCGUCGGGGACCAUCACAUACUGUGAGGGAUGCUGAUGGCUCGCCUGUUGAGGGGAAGCUUUCAAAGAGAGGUGGCGGUGCUUCUGGUUAUGGUUCUCAUGAGGUUUAAUGUGUUAGCAGAAGCAAGUGUGGGUUCAAAAGUCGGGAUCUGGUUCUUAGGGUUUUUGAGAAGUGCAAUAGCUGCUAGUCCCAUUAAAUUUUGGAGCAUGCAUUUGCUGUAUGCGGGUCAGGUGUGGAACAAUGGCCGACAGUCAGUUCUGGAAAAAUAUUUCAGCAGUGGUGGUGGUUUUCUUAGGGAAACCUAGAAGAAAAGUGAAAGUUGACGUGCAGAUAUUUCGUGUAAUUACAUAUUCAGUGGGCUUGAAGAAAUCCCGAUGUUAGUCGAAAAUGGCUCGGAAUAGGAAGACAGAAAGGAAAGAAAUACACAGUUAUAAUGACAUAUAGGACCACAGAUUUUGCCAGAGGUGUCCCUUUGUGGGGCUCUUCUACUCACCGGAUGAGCCAUUGGAGUCCGCAUUCUUGGUUGGACGGACUGCAUAUCGGGAGUAUUCUAGUUCUAUACCCUUUGGUUAAAACUGUAUAUAAUUAUGGGAAGGAAAGGCGCGAGAUUGAUUAGCUAUGGUUGUUUCUUUAUAAAUAUGGGUUGUUAAAGGCAGUCUUAGUUAUACGUGAUUGGUGAGAGUUUGUUAAUAGCCCUUGGUUAUUUUGGAGGGCUAAUAUCUAUAAUUUGGUUGACGAGAGCAAAAAAGCCAAAGAUAAUGGAGUUGAUAAAUGAAUGUUAUAGCGAUGAUGGGUAGGAACUAAUUGAGUCUUUGUUAUGGCUUGUGCUGUGCUGUUGCUGUGCUUGUGUUAAUGGAUAAUUGUUCUCCCGCAA